ensembl:lncRNA
CCGGUACAGAGUCAAUGUGGAGGCUAUUUACAGGGUGUUACGGUACAGAGUCAAUGUGGAGGCUAUAUACAGGGUGUUACGGUACAGAGUCAAUGUGGAGGCUAUAUACAGGGUGUUACGGUACAGAGUCAAUGUGGAGGCUAUAUACAGGGUGUUACGGUACAGAGUCAAUGUGGAGGCUAUUUACAGGGUGUUACGGUACAGAGUCAAUGUGGAGGCUAUAUACAGGGGUACCAGUACAGAGUCAAUGUGGAGGCUAUAUACAGGGUGUUAUGGUACAGAGUCAAUGUGGAGGCUAUAUACAGGGGUACCAGUACAGAGUCAAUGUGGAGGCUAUAUACAGGGUGUUAUGGUACAGAGUCAAUGUGGAGGCUAUAUACAGGGGAUACCGGUACAGAGUCAAUGUGGAGGUUAUAUACAGGGGAUACCGGUACAGAGUCAAUGUGGAGGCUAUAUACAGGGGGUACCGGUACAGAGUCAAUGUGGAGGCUAUAUACAGGGUGUUACGGUACAGAGUCAAUGUGGAGGAUAUAUACAGGGUAUUACGGUACAGAGUCAAUGUGGAGGCUAUAUACAGGGGAUACCGGUACAGAGUCAAUGUGGAGGCUAUAUACAGGGGAUACCGGUACAGAGUCAAUGUGGAGGCUAUAUACAGGGGGUACCGGUACAGAGUCAAUGUGGAGGCUAUAUACAGGGUAUUACGGUACAGAGUCAAUGUGGAGGCUAUAUACAGGGUAUUACGGUACAGAGUCAAUGUGGAGGCUAUAUACAGGGUAUUACGGUACAGAGUCAAUGUGGAGGCUAUAUACAGGGGGUACCGGUACAGAGUCAAUGUGGAGGCUAUAUACAGGGGGUACCGGUACAGAGUCAAUGUGGAGGCUAUAUACAGGGGAUACCGGUACAGAGUCAAUGUGGAGGCUAUAUACAGGGUGUUACGGUA